CAAAACCGGAUGCAGUAUUCCAAGUGUAGCCUUACCAAGUUAUUGCAAUGGAUAGAGACCUCAACAGAGAAGGUGACUAGAGCUGCAGCCUCUGGAAGUCAAUAUAGGGCAAUUUUCCCACAGCUGAUCACCUCCUCUCCCACAGUUAUCUUGCUGGAAAUUAUGGGAUCUUGCACACUACCACAUCUGAGCACAUAAGUUUGGAAAGCCUGGUCCAGAGGAAGUGCUCUUCAAAGGAAAUAGCCAGCUGCUGCUUAUAGGAUCCUUGACAAUGAGGGAUUGUCUGUUUCUAGUCCUCUGACUCCUGUGACAUAAUUGUUUUCCAUUAUAGAAACGGAGAGGCAGCUGUUUGAAAUAAAAACAAAAUAGAGGACAUACUAGCACUGGAAAGAGCUGGUUCAUCCCUUUUCUGUGGACUUCUUUGAAGAAUGUGAUAGGGCAAACAGUAAUCAGGGAAUUAGAAUGAGGGACAUUAAGUUUCCUUACAUCAAAUACAACAAAAAUGUCUUGCUCUCAGUUUAUCUAGAUUUAUUUCUUACAAAUAUAUUUUUUCUUUCUGACAAAUAAGCAAUAGUUAGCUUAUUAAAUUUGAAUAUAUAUAUUCAAUUACAGUAUGUUUAACUUCUACGUUAUUUUCUUGGAAGAUUUUUUUUUCAUUAAACUGAAACAAUUUCGGGGAAAUGGUCUGCAGAGUCCUUCCAAGGAAUUGAAAUGAAGUCUUUUCUUUUAAUGUAUACAGUACGCAUGGUAUAUGACUAACGAAACUGGCAUAUAUAACUAAAAAUAAAUCUUUAAAUUCCUUGCAUAACUGCAAAGGGGAAGCCAUGUCUUUUCAUUUGUGGUGGAAGUGCUCAAAGAGUGCUUGGUAGAUGUAGAAAUGGGUAAAAGUAUCAGUCAGGAUAUUCAGAUAGACCCCAUUAUUGAAAACGUUAACUGAAAACAGGAAGAAGACAAAGUCUAAAAAGUUGUUAGUUUCUAUAUAUAGACAGAAGCAAAAACGGCAAUAAAUAAAAA